rnacentral:rRNA from 1 species
CCUACGGGAGGCAGCAGUGGGGGAUAUUGCACAAUGGGGGGAACCCUGAAGCAGCGAUGCCGCGUGAGCGAAGAAGUACCUCGGUAUGUAAAGCUCUAUCAGCAGGGAAGAAAAUGACGGUACCUGACUAAGAAGCCACGGCUAAAUACGUGCCAGCAGCCGCGGUAAUACGGAGGGGGCAAGCGUUAUCCGGAUUUACUGGGUGUAAAGGGAGCGUAGACGGUGCGCCAAGUCAGGAGUGAAAUGCCGCAGCUUAACUGCGGAAUUGCAUUGGAAACUGGCGAACUAGAGUGCGGGAGGGGUAAGCGGAAUUCGUAGUGUAGCGGUGAAAUGUGUAGAUAUUAGGAGGAACACCGGUGGCGAAGGCGGCUUACUGGACCGUAACUGACGUUGAGGCUCGAAAGCGUGGGGAGCAAACAGGAUUAGAUACCCGGGUAGUC